rnacentral:rRNA from 1 species
GAUCAAGUGAAUAAGUGCACAUGAUGGAUGCCUUGGCGAUUACAGGCGACGAAGGACGUUAUAACCUGCGAUAAGCCUCGGGGAGCUGGUAAAUAAGCUUUGAUCCGGGGAUUUCUGAAUGGGGAAACCCACCACUUUUGUGGUAUCCAUACCUGAAUACAUAGGGUAUGUGAAGCGAACCUCGUGAACUGAAACAUCUAAGUAGCGAGAGGAAAAGACAUCAACCGAGAUUCCCAAAGUAGUGGCGAGCGAAAUGGGAAGAGCCUUCUAGUGAUAACUCAGUAAUUAACAGAAUGGAAUGGAAAGUCCAACAAUAAAGGGUGAUAGUCCCGUAUGUGAAAAUUAUUGGGUGGUACUAGGCUAGAGACAAGUAGGGCGGGACACGUGAAAUCCUGUCUGAAUAUGGGGGGACCAUCCUCCAAGG